GAUGAGAACGCAGUGAAAUGCGAUAAGUAAUGUGAAUUGCAGAAUUCAGUGAAUCAUCGAAUCUUUGAACGCACAUUGCGCCCCUUGGUAUUCCGAGGGGCAUGCCUGUUCGAGCGUCAUUAUAACCCCUCAAGCUCAGCUUGGUGUUGGGGCCUGCUGCACUGGCAGCCCUUAAAAUCAGUGGCGGCGCCAUCUGGCUCUAAGCGUAGUAAUUCUUCUCGCUAUGGAGUCCUGGUGGAUGCUUGCCAUCAACCCCCAAUUUUUCUAUGGUUGACCUCGGAUCAGGUAGGGAUACCCGCUGAACUUAAGCAUAUCAAUAAGCGGAGGA
rnacentral:misc_RNA from 1 species